ensembl:lncRNA
AUAGACUUUGCCUCAGGACCUGGUGAAAGAAGACCUGAACAGAAGCCUGUGGGUAACCAGCAGUCUGAUACCUCUAACCUUGGACCUCACUGUCCACGAUGACGCAGUGGGUGCCUAUGCCUUCUGCAGAAGUCUUCGCUACUCAUUCAUUCUUAUCAAUGUUUUAACACACACAAUUAGCUUUUCACUCACACCAGUCCCAGUGACUGUGCAAAGCAAAUGUCCUCAGGGAUCCAUGAGGGCCCUGUGUCUGAAACACAGCCUCCUUGAUCAACGAGGCU